rnacentral:rRNA from 1 species
AUUGAACGCUGGCGGCAGGCCUAACACAUGCAAGUCGAACGAGUGGCGGACGGGUGAUUACUGUAUGGGCCACUGCCUGAUGGAGUGGGAUCACUAAUGGAAACGGUAGCUAAUACCGCAUACCAUCAGCUGUGCCCAGAUGGGAUUAGCUUGUGGGUGGGGUAACGGCUCACCAAGGCGACGAUCCCUAGCUGGUCUGAGAGGAUGACCAGCCACACUGGAACUGAGACACGGCCCAGACGCCUACGGGAGGCAGCAGUGGGGAAUAUUGGACAAUGGGGGAAAGCCUGAUGCAGCCAUGCCGCGUGUGUGAUGAAGGCCUUCGGGUUGUAAAGUACUUUCGGCGGGGAGGCGGUACCUGCAGAAGAAGCACCGGCUAACUCCGUGCCAGCAGCCGCGGUAAUUC